rnacentral:tRNA from 1 species
GUUUGAUUAGCUCAGUGGUAGAGCAGCCGACGCGAUCGGUGGGACGUAGGUUCGAGUCCUACAUCAAACUCCG